rnacentral:rRNA from 1 species
UACGAAGGGGGCUAGCGUUGCUCGGAAUCACUGGGCGUAAAGCGCACGUAGGCGGCUUUCUAAGUCAGGGGUGAAAUCCCGGAGCUCAACUCCGGAACUGCCUUUGAUACUGGAGAGCUUGAGUUCGGGAGAGGUGAGUGGAACUGCGAGUGUAGAGGUGAAAUUCGUAGAUAUUCGCAAGAACACCAGUGGCGAAGGCGGCUCACUGGCCCGGUACUGACGCUGAGGUGCGAAAGCGUGGGGAGCAAACAGG